CCUCCUUUACACCAGAAUGGCACCCUAUCCCCUACAGGCUAUAGGUUAGGAGAGUUAGGGUCAGGGGUUAUAGGUUAGGAGAGUUAGGGUCAGGGGUUAUAGGUUAGGAGAGUUAGGGUCAGGGGCUAUAGGUUAGGAGAGUUAGGGUCAGGGGCUAUAGGUUAGGAGAGUUAGGGUCAGGGGUUAUAGGUUAGGAGAGUUAGGGUCAGGGGCUAUAGGUUAGGGUCAGGGGCUAUAGGUUAGGAGAG